GAUCGCCUAGCUAUAGCAACCAAGCUAACCACCGUAUCAAGCUAGCACAGCUACAGUAUUUGAGCAAUAUCUGAAUAUGGCAUGUAUAAAAACAACAGUCACGUCGCCGAUUACUAAUAAAAUAUGCUAAAUCGUGUUUUUAGACAGUGAUAUGAAUAUGUAGCGGCGUACAGCGGUCUAAUCACAAAGAGAUUGGACACUGAUGAGCUGAGCUGGUGAUCCCUCCUCUCUGCACCUGGGGGCAUCGUUUGCAUCAACAAGGCAGAGAUCCCGUCAGCCUGAGUGAGGAGGAGGAUAUGGUCAGAGGGAGAGAAGGAGUGGACACUCCGCACCACGCGCCUCGGGACAAGACAUGUGACCUGCUUUGCUCUCCGGAGCAGAGUGCCAUUGAAAGGAUUGAUAACUGGAGUGGCGUUAAGUGUUGAGGAGGACCAACUGAAAUGGAAGAUUCCGGGUGUCUGUGACACCCUCCGUUUGCUGUGAGCGUGGUGAAACACAGAAAAUACUGUCUGUCCUGCUAAGUUUGGAUGCAGUGUCUUUACCUGACAACGUUAGGCUUUGUCAGUUAUCCCGUGAGACUUUUUGUCCCGAAUCCAUUACAGUGUUUUCAUUUCAAGUUGUAUUAGUUGUAUGCAGGGGAUACUCAGCAGGUCCCUUCUCGACCAUGCAACAACAAUAAUAACAAUAACAAUUUUAAUAACAAUUUAAUAAACAUCUAUAAUGAAUAAAGAUGCUAUAUGCCAAGCUUAUGGUCAUGUUGCAGCAGUGUGUAGGAGGGAGGUUCCGAGACGUGAGAAGUGUGCAGGGGGGCAUCAGACAGAGGAAUGUAUAGUAUCGGUGGAGAAAGCUGUGUGUGUUAACUGAAGGGUUACCCAUUGUGUUUGAGAUCAGAAGGGGCCAGUGAGAGAAAGGCAAGUCGCUGUUUCCAAGAUUUGAGUAGUACAGAAGCACUGGCAUACACCCCCCCCCCCCCCACUCCCAGGCUGCCUGGUCUAGGAUCAGAUACAGUGAAUUCAGAAAGUGUUCACACACCUUGAUUUUUUUUAAUGCAUUCUGUUGUGUUAUAGCCUGAUUUUAAAAUUUAUUCAAUUUAGAUGUUGUGUCACUGGCCUAUAUACAAUACCCCAUGUCAAAAUAGAAUUAUGUUUUUAGAAAUGUUUACAAGUUAAUUAAAGAUGCACUAUGCAGAAAUCGCUCUGCAAUUUCCUGGUUGCAAAACCCGCGAUGUGGCUGGCUUUCUUUUUGUAAUCCGUGAUCGUUAGGAGUCCCUGCCACAUAUGCCUUUAACAUCUCUGUACCCUACACAUACAAUUAUCUGUAAGGUCCCUCAUUCGAGCACUGAAUUUCCAGCACAGAUUCAACCAUAAAGAUCAGGGAGGUUUUCCAAUGCCUCGCAAAGAAGGCCAUCUAUUGGUAGAUGGGUAUGAUUUUUUUUUAAACACAUUGAAUAUCCCUUUGAGCAUGGUGAAGUUAUUAAUUACACUUUGGAUGGUGUAUCAAUACACCCAGUCUCUACAAAGAUACAGGCGUUCUUCCUAACUCAGUUGCUGGAGAGGAAGGAAACCCCUCAGGGAUUUCACCAUGAGCCCAAUGGUGACUAAAACAGUUACAGAGUUUAAUGGCUGUGAUAGGAGAAAACUGAGGAUGGUUCAACAACAUUGUAGUUACUCUACAAUACUAACCUAAUCGACAGAGUGAAAAGAAUUGUACAGAAUGUAAAAAAUCCAAAGCAUGCAUCCUGUUUGCAAUAAGGCACUAAAGUAAUACUGCAAAAAAUGUGCCAAAGAAAUAAAACGCAUAAUGUUUGGGGCAAAUCCAUCAAAACACAUCACUGAAUAUCACACUUCAUAUUUUCAAGCGUGGUGGUGGCUGCAUCAUGUUAUGGGUAUGCUUGUCAUCAGCAAGGACUAUGGAAAUAUCCUAGAGGAAAGCCUGGUUCAGUCUGCUUUCUAACAGACACUGGAGGACAAAUCCACCUUUCAGCUGGACAAUAACCUUAAACAAGGCCAAAUAUACACUGGAAAUGCUUACCAAGACAACAUUGAAUGUUCCUGCGUGGCCUAGUUAUAGUUGUCACUUAUUAAAUCAGCUUGAAAAUAUAUAGCAAGACUUGAAAAUGGCUGUCUAGCAAUGAUCCACAACCAACUUGAUGGAGUUUGGUGUGCAAAACACUUAGAUACUUACUCAGAAAGAGUCACAGCUGUGAUCGCUGCCAAAGGUGAUUCUAACAUGUGUUGACUCAGGGGGUUGAAUACUUACAUUAUCAAGAAACUGUAUUUUAGUGUUUUAUUUUUUAUUUAAUCUUUACAAAUGUAUAGAUUGUUGACUUUGUAACAAAAAUGUGGAAAAAGUCAAGGGGUGUGAGUACUUCCCGAAGGCACUGUAGGGCCAAGUAGUAGAAUAGUGGUUAGAUUUGAAUGCGUGUAGGAUUUUUUUCUUCCCUUUUCUCUUCCCUUUUGUAUCACUAGCUAGGUUUCCAUCCAAUUCGCAACAGAUUUUCAUGCAGAUAUUCUAAAAUCUGCAUAAAACAAUAUGCGCAUUUUCCCACCAGCGAUGUGUUUCCAUCAAACAUAUUUUUUGCAGAUAAAAGGCUGUUGUCACGCCCUGACCUGAGAUAUAUCUGUUUUCUUUAUAUUUUGGUUAGGUCAGGGUGUGACUAGGGUGGAUACGCUAAUUUUUGUAUUGUCUAGGGUUUUUGUAUUGUCUAGGGGUUUUGUAUGUGUAGGGUUUUGUAGGUCUAGGUAUUUGUUUGUUUAUGGUGGCCUGAUAUGGUUCCCAAUCAGAGGCAGCUUUUAAUUGUUGUCUCUGAUUGGGGAUCAUAUUUAGGUAGCCAUUUCCCUUUGGUGUUUGUGGGUUCUUGUCUAUGUGUAGUUGCCUGUCAGCACUCAUUUGUAUAGCGGCAUGUGGUGUUGUGUUAUUUUGUUCAGUUUUUUCAGUGUUUAAUAUAAUAAAGAAUGUAUGCAUACCA